rnacentral:pre_miRNA from 1 species
UUUUAUGGAUGAGCAAAGAAAGUAGUUUCCUGAGAUGGAGACUACUCCUGUGGAAGAUACUGUAAA